GCCACUUUAGCUCAGUUGGUAGAGCAACUGUUUUGUAAACAGUAGGUCGUCAGUUCGAAUCUGACAAGUGGCU
rnacentral:tRNA from 1 species